rnacentral:rRNA from 1 species
CCUACGGGAGGCAGCAGUGGGGAAUAUUGGACAAUGGGCGAAAGCCUGAUCCAGCAAUGCCGCGUGUGUGAAGAAGGCCUGCGGGUUGUAAAGCACUUUCGGUAGGAAAGAAAAGGCCGCCGCCAAUACCGGCGGUUCUUGACGUUACCUACAGAAGAAGCACCGGCUAAUUCCGUGCCAGCAGCCGCGGUAAUACGGAAGGUGCGAGCGUUAAUCGGAAUUACUGGGCGUAAAGCGCGCGUAGGUGGUUCGGUAAGUCUGAUGUGAAAGCCCGGGGCUCACCCCCGGAAGGGCAUUGGAAACUGGCGGACUCGAGUCCCGGAGAGGAGGGUGGAAUUCCUGGUGUAGCGGUGAAAUGCGUAGAUAUCAGGAGGAACACCGGUGGCGAAGGCGGCCCUCUGGACGGUGACUGACGCUAAGACGCGAAAGCGUGGGGAGCAAACAGGAUUAGAUACCCUGGUAGUCCACGCUGUAAACGAUGAGCACUAGGUGUCGUGGGUAUUGACCCCCGCGGUGCCGCAGCUAACGCAUUAAGUGCUCCGCCUGGGGACUACGGCCGCAAGGUUAAAACUCAAGGAAUUGACGGG